AUAGGGGCCCUUUCUUCCAGCUGAGAGAGCCUGAGACAGAGAGAAAAGAGUGCUGUUCAUGUAGCAAGAGCUAGAGCUAGUUAUAUAUAGAGUGGCAGGAUCGAGCAGCCGGCGAGAUCAUGGACACGGCGGCGGUGCUGCUGCUGCUUGCACUGGUGGCCGUCCUCCUCUGCUACCCUCUCGUCCUGCCGCCGCUGCCGCCUUCUCCGCCGGCGCUGUUCGUCUGGAUCCCCGUGCUCAUGCUGCUUCUGCUCUUCGCCCUCGCCUUCUCCCCUGCUCACUAAUAUAAUUACCCAGCAGGUACUUGAUUUGCAUUUGCAAAUCUGUUGCAGGUGGGGCAGUGGUUCUGCGCUAGGGAUCAACGAACUGACGAUGAAGCUGUCGAUCAAGGGGGGAUUAUUUUAGGAUCUACCACAGCUAGCUAACAUGUCAGCUAGUUCAGCUAAUUUGCUGAUGAUAUGAUCAUUUAGGAAAACUUAUGUACUUAUGUGUUGAUAAAUAAAGAUGCAUUUUUCUCUUCA